GUCACAGGAGGGCCUGGCAUCAGGAGGCCUCGCUUCCGUGCCCAGAGCUCCUCUGCAUCCUGGCAGGUCACACCAUCUCUUCCACUCAGGAAAAGUUCUACAUGAGCAUAAGAUGCAGGAGAUCUUAAGUGGGCAGCAGGAACUACCACUGACUGGAUCCUAAACCGCGCUCGGCACUGGACUAGGAUUUCUCAGUUCUCAGAGUCGCCACUGUGAAGCAGGUGCUCUUGUCCCCACAUCACGAAAGAGCCGAAGG